GUGGAAGAACUAAAGGGUUUGGGAUAAGGGUCCAUGUUACAGAAUUUCCAAUUACUCAUUCCUUUGGUCUCUUCCCAGAUGCCGAGCAACUCCGCCUCCCACCUUCCAACAGGCGCGCUCCCGGCCCCUCGGGACACGGCCGCCGUCGGCGAGUCUGGCUGUCCUCGCGUCGUGCCUGGGUGCCAGCCUCCCGGGGCGAAUGAGGGACACGUUUAUCAGUCCCGCGGGGAGAGGAGUGGGGGCUCGACUCGGAUUUCCUCCUCGGGCAAGACACGGCCAUUCCCCCACCACCUCCAUGGACUUACAGAGUCCAGGGGGAAAUGAACGCUGGUUCUCUUCUUUCUUUACCCGUCUCUGCCUUAGGAAUCAUCUACAGUUUCCGAGUCCACGUGGGGGGCGGCAGGACAGGACAAGUCACAGCCCCACCGAUUCCCAGUGUCUGCUGCAGCUUGGCGUCCAGCUCUACAAUUCUUGAAAGAUGAAAGAAAGAGAAGUCCCUAAGUAGAAACUACAAGGGCCAAGCAGAUUAUACCAUGUAAGGACAUCAUCUGUCCCUGGACUCUAAACGGAAGAUCAUGCAAAUAGUGGACUGAAGUCAUCCCAGCCUUCAAAAGAGCCACCGUCGGGGGGAAAUAACAGAAAGGGAUAAAAAGCUGUCUUUCGUAACCCAAUCUGUAUCUUUCUGUGUGACUUCCCUAUCCUGCCUGUCCUAACGCCCUCUCGGCCGUAAACACUCACAGAGUAGAAACAGAGCAUAGAAAUGAAGAAGAGGAAGAGGGGGAAAAAAUGGAGGAAACGCACAAGUUGUGUGUGUCUACAACUAGCAGAGAACAACUCCAACUUGUCUCUGAUACAGCUGGAGGAAGGGAUGCAACAAACUCAGGAACCAGAAUGCCUUGCACAAGAAACAAGACAGAGGGAAGCUUCUGGAGGAUAGAGAGCUUCAGCACAUUAAGAAACAGACUCAUUGGGCAGGACUUCUGAUCCCUGCCGUGAACAAUGAUGUGGAUAUGCUGCCAGAAAGCUGCAGGUAUGAACUGUUUCCAUGCUGCCAACUACCUGAAAUGAGCACUUGAAAACUAUGUUUUCUAUCACAAUCUGAAGGAAUUUCUUCUGCUUUGAAAACAAGUGUCCCAGAGUAACUUGGGACACACACCCUUGAUUGUGUGACCAACUUACCUAAAGCAAAAAUUCAAGGAAGAACUGCUUCAUUAUGAAUGGGUCAUUCAUACAAUCCAUUCUCUCGUUCACUUGUGGAUCACGACAUAAGCUGUUCAUCAGGCUCUGUGCGUGCUUAGGGACGGUUGUCUUGGAAGCGGUGAGCCUCUCGGGCCUCCAGCACAGCCAGGUGUCCCCUCCACCCCUCCAUUGCCUGUUGGAAAAGGAGGGUGACUAUCACUGAGGCAGCAGGCAAAUACAUUCCCCCUAGCCCCACCCCAGCCAUCUGCGCAGGGACAUUUGAUCAAGAUGAACUGAUUUGCAUCUAGGAUGUGGUCAAGAAUCAUGAGAUUAGCCUGGGCUUUCCGCCCUUCUGAUCCCUCAUCCGGUUUUUUGUUUUUUGUUUUUUUUGGAUAUAGGGUCUUGCUCUGUCACCCAGGCUGAA